rnacentral:tRNA from 1 species
GCCACCGUGUCUUCAACGCUUGUGAAAUCGAGCGGAGCUUUCGUAAAGCUCAGGUCAGCGGUUCGAGUCCGCUGGGUGGCU